UAAGUAAUUAACAUAAACAUGUUUAGAAAGGAGUUACCAAUAGAUUUAAGUAAAAAUUAUCUCAAAUUAUCAAAUAUUAUUAUCUGGAGAGGAUUGGUUGUCAAUCUGGCUCAAAAUUAGAUUGCAAGGCAUAAAACCAUGUACCUAUAGCAACUUUGAGGUGCUUUGGUAGAUUAGAGAGUGGAAUUUGAAAAUAGACUUGUAAAGAAUUUUUUUGAAUAUUGAUUUUAUGUCAAUCAAGCUAAUAUUCAGUUUUUGGAAGAUUUUCAAAGUUGGUGAUGUUCUUGAUUGGAUUAGGUUUUAAAAAAUAAAAUUAUGUUAACAAAAUUGAUAGUUUCUUGAGUUUGGUAGUAUAAGUACAAGUGAAUUUUGGGUAGUAUAUCGGUAUUCUAGUUGUUAGGAUGUAUAAAUUUUUUAAAGUCAAUCAAAUAAUUAGAUUAAAGUGUAUGAAGGUUUUUGCAUGUUGAGGUCUUAAAAAUUAGAAUUUGAGGGUCAAUGAGUAUUUUUAAGAUUUUUAGAAAUUUAUUGAUUGGAUUGAAGUGAUUUUUUUUAUUUUUUAUUUUUUUUAUUUAGAGAAUAGACUUGAUUUUCCAUAGUUAAUGUAUAUUUUAGAAGCAAUUCAAUAAUUUAAAAAAGAAAUGUUGGCACUAAAAUUUUAACAUUUAGAUUAGAAUAGAAGGCUUUCCAAUAUUCAAGCAGAAUUAAGGUUUGAUCUUCUAUUUAGUAAGUUUGAUCUUUUUCAAAUUUUUUUAUGUUUUUUGCUAGCUUAGUUGUUGAAAAAUGAGUAAAAUCUUAAGCAAGUUCAAUAGUAUAAUUGAUAGAUAUUG
rnacentral:lncRNA from 1 species